rnacentral:rRNA from 1 species
UGAACGCUAGCGACAGGCUAACACAUGCAAGUCGAGGGGCAGACAUAAAAGUAGCAUACUUGGUGGCGACCGGCGCACGGGUGAGUAACGCGUAUCGCAACCUACCUAUCGAGAGGGGAAUAACCCGGCGAAAGUCGGACUAAUACCGCAUAAAACAGGGGCACCGCAUGGUGAUAUUUGUUAAAGAAAUUCGCUGAUAGAUGGGCAUGCGUUCCAUUAGGUAGUUGGUGAGGUAACGGCUCACCAAGCCGACGAUGGAUAGGGGAACUGAGAGGUUGGUCCCCCACACUGGUACUGAGACACGGACCAGACUCCUACGGGAGGCAGCAGUGAGGAAUAUUGGUCAAUGGGCGGGAGCCUGAACCAGCCAAGUCGCGUGAAGGAAAAGAAGGAUCUAUGGUUCGUAAACUUCUUUUGCAGGGGAAUAAAGUGCAGGACGUGUCCUGUUUUGUAUGUACCCUGAGAAUAAGGAUCGGCCAACUCCGUGCCAGCAGCUGC